AGUGAACGCUGGCGGUAGGCCUAACACAUGCAAGUCGAACGGCAGCACAGUAAGAGCUUGCUCUUACGGGUGGCGAGUGGCGGACGGGUGAGGAAUACAUCGGAAUCUACUUUUUCGUGGGGGAUAACGUAGGGAAACUUACGCUAAUACCGCAUACGACCUACGGGUGAAAGCAGGGGAUCUUCGGACCUUGCGCGAUUGAAUGAGCCGCUGUCGGAUUAGCUAGUUGGCUGGGUAAAGGCCCACCAAGGCGACGAUCCGUAGCUGGUCUGAGAGGAUGAUCAGCCACACUGGAACUGAGACACGGUCCAGACUCCUACGGGAGGCAGCAGUGGGGAAUAUUGGACAAUGGGCGCAAGCCUGAUCCAGCCAUACCGCGUGGGUGAAGAAGGCCUUCGGGUUGUAAAGCCCUUUUGUUGGGAAAGAAAAGCAGCAGGUUAAUACCCCGCUGUUCUGACGGUACCCAAAGAAUAAGCACCGGCUAACUUCGUG
rnacentral:rRNA from 1 species